GUCUGUGGCUCAGUGGUAGAACAUCAGCUUUGUAUCCAGAAGGUCCCAGGUUCAAGCCCAGUUAAAAACA
rnacentral:tRNA from 1 species